rnacentral:lncRNA from 1 species
GGUAGAUAUUUUUAUACGUGAAAGUUAACUUAUAAAAUCAUUCUAUUAGUUGGAGCCAGGGGUUCCAGCAGGUGUACGCUCUUUGCAGUGGUUUAUUUUUAUAAAAUAUUAUUUUUUCAAUAAACAAAUUUUCUUUAAGAUAAUUUUUUAAGGCUACACUAUUUACUUGUCCACAUUGCAUUUUUGUUUUGUAUAUAUAGUAUUUAGUUAAUAGUAUUAUGAGAUUUCUUAUGUAGUUUUUUUUUCUGUUUUUUCUAAUAUCCC